AAACACCCAAGAAUUAUCAAUAAAAAAAUAAAUUAAAAAAAAAAAUAAAUAAAUAAAUCCAGCAAAAAUAAAAAUAAAAAAUAAAAUCCCCUUGAAUACAUUUGAGGUAAUGUUGUAGUUUUCAGCUCCUCCCACGAGAGAUUUUAUGGAGUGCCUAACUGUGCUACCCGGGUGCUGCUCCUGUCGUUAGUGGUGGCACCCAGGAGGAAUUAAAAUUACAAGAGUGUUUCCUUCCAGAUGUUGUUGCUACAGGCUCAAGGUGCUCUUUUAACUGGGACAUCAGGCUUUCUUGAAAUAGACAAGAAUUCUAGAAACAUGACAUUGUGCCUGAUUCAUCGCUUCAACUUGCCACUGACUCAUUCUCUCCUUGAUAGGUUAUUCAACAGUAACUUUAAUUACAUCAUUUACUUAUUGUUUUCUUCCUUGAUUUAUUCUCUUUCUACAAUUCUUGUUUAUCAUCUCAGUGAUUGGACCAUCUCACCUCUGAGACUUGGGUAGAAUUCUGUGGACUCUGGAAAUAGACAUGGAGGUUUUCAUGUAUCUCUGUUAAUGUGUACAAACACCCCCAGGCUUGUACACUUGAAAUACAUCAGUAGGAAGGGUAGUUCUCAAUUUGCUAGUGUUUCACACAGCUUGUCUUAUUUAAUGAUCUCAGCUGCCCUAUGAAGUAGAUACCAUCCUAUUAAAAAAUGCAGGAGCAGAGGCUCUGAGAGGGGACUGUAACUUACCCAAGAUCAUGUGGUAGAUUGCAAAACUGGUUCCAAAUCCCUACCCUUCCCUGUACGCACACCUUUUGCCAUUCAUCUGCAAUGUCCUUUUCUGAUUCUGGGCUCAGCAAUAUAACUUGCUCUGGCCAACAGGAUAACAACAGCAAAUGUGAUGUAAGCAAAAGCUUGAGAAAUACUUGUGCAACUAAUCAUGUUUGCCUUCUCUCUUGUACCUGUGCCAUUGCCAUGAGAACAUGCCUGGGCUAGGAUUAGAGACACUUGGAGCAGAGCUGAGUCAUCCCAGCUGUCCCAGUUGAGGCCAGCCUAGGUCAGUCGAUGGCAACCAAGCCCUAAGCAUGUUAGUGAGCCCAGCCAUGAUCAGCACAACCACCUAGCCAACCAUCCCAGACCUGUGAUCAAUAAAGCCUUACUAUUCCAUACCACCUAGGUUUUGUGAUUAUUUAUUUCACAGAAUUAUUAUGGCAGUAUGUAACUGAUAGAAGCGGUGUACAGGGAAGAGUAUUUGUUAGUCCGUUUUCACACUGCUGAUAAAGACAUAUGCGAGACUGAGCAAUUUACAAAAGAAAGAGGUUUAAUGGACUUACAGUUCCACGUGGCUGGGGAAGCCUCACAAUUGUGGUGAAAGGUGAAAGUCACAUCUCACAUGGCAGCAGACAAGAGAAGAAGAGCUUGUGCAGGGAAACUCCCCUUUUAAAAACCAUCAGAUCUCAUGAUACUUAUUCACUAUCAUCAGAAUAGCCUGGGAAAGACCUGUCCCCAUGAUUCAGUUACUUCCCACCGUGUCACUCCCACAACAAGUGGGAAUUCAAGAUGAGAUUUGGGUAGGGACACAGCAAAACCAUAUUAGAGCAGAUCUCUGGAAUUGGGCAGGCCAAGGUUUGAAUCCCAUCUGUUAUUUGGAGUGUGUGUUUCUUUUUGAGACUAAUCUCCUUACCCUUGAAAUGAGGUAAUAUACUUCCCUCAUAGGGUUGCUGGGAAGAUUAAACACGAGGUGAAGUAAAUAAAGCCCCAGGGACAUAAGCAAAAAAUAAUGGCUUCUCACAGCAAUGCUCCAGAACAUACAACAAGGGAAUACUGGGCCCAGUCCCAGGACUAUCCAAGUGUGAAGCCAACACCUUUUCACAUCAACUCCAAGUUCCAUGGGCUGACUGGACUCCACUGGGAGUUCUUGAUGUCUCUCGUGUGGUUGUGUGAGAUAGUGGCUGGGACUGGACUCAUCUGAAGGCUUGACUGGGCUGGAUGCCCAAGAUAGCCCACUUUUAGACAGAGGUGGCUGGCAGUUGAUGCUGACUGUCAGCUGGGGACUCAGCUGAGAGUGUUAACUGGAGUCCCUAGACGUGGCUUCUCCACAUGGCUUGGGCUUCUCAUGGAAGGGCACCUGGAUUCUGAGAGAGAGCAUCCCAAGAGACACAAGUGGAAAUGAUAAGGCUUCUUAUGACGUAGACUGGAGGUACUGAGACAUCACUUUUGCUACAUUAGAAGGUUAGAUGCUGACAUUUUAUGAUUUCACAACUUGGAUCCUCUGUCCUCUGAUACUGAAUCAGAUAGUAGUUUAUGGAGCUGAGCAGAGAGCCAGCUGGUCCUGGGCACAGAGGAGGCUGUGUUCCAUGCUGAAGACAAGAACAUAUGGUGGACGUACCAUCCUAACUAUCUGGGAAGGGAGCUUCGUGGCUACAUGGGAGUUAUCAUCUGCCAGUGCCGGCUGCAUCCUGGCUGUGCCCACCUCUGGACUCUGAAUCUCUGCACCUCAGUACCCCCAACCCCAACACGACUGUGAUGUUAGGCAUAUAUUAGGCAUGUGAAGAUGAGAAAGAGAAGAUACAGCUCCCAUGUUUAUCUCCAUGAGAAGAUAAGCCACAGGGAGAGAGAAAGACUGUUGUGCACGAGAGGGAGUGUCAAAUGCCAAAUGGAUGUCAGCAGUCGGGGUGUGCUAGAGGCACUCAGGGGAAGGGAGGCUGGGCAUAGAGGGUCAUGCUGGAGGAGGUGACUCUGGAUCUGAAUCUUGAAAGGUCCUGUUGUGCCCAACUCAUGAUUUAUCCAGGUCACACCAGUCUGGUCUGUCACAGUAAGAGGGCCACCAGGAAACACACCUUCAGGAAGCACCUUUUCUGUUCUAUCCCAAAGGGCACCAUCACAUACACUAUAAUAUGAAUCAUGACCCCCGGAGUUGUGUGGAGUUUCUGCAUCUCUCCCUCCCCACUGUGGCUACCCUCAUCCAGCAACCAUCCUGUCUCUCACCGGUAUUACCGCAGCUGAGACCCAGGUCUUAAGGAAGCUGAGACCCAGGCCAGCAGGGGCCUCACAGGUAGAAUGAAGCUUGGAAAAAGAGGAGGGUGUAAGACUCUGGAUGAAGCUGAGAGAUCCUUCCAUGCUUGGCUGAGAGACUACACAGACAUGAGCUUCAGGAGACUCCAAAGCCUCGGAUCCCCUUCUAAACUAGCACUGAAUUCUGAUUGGCUGUCUUUGCCUGCCUCAGUUUGUUCCUUUUACUGAUUGGCUAGGUUCUUCUGCCCAUGGCAGAGCCCUGCUCCAGCCACCGGAUCCUCCCACCUGCCACAGUGUCACCUGGGAUUGGCUGGGCUCUGAAAGGCCAGGCUGGCUUGACUCUUGCCAUCAUCAGAUUCUUCCUCAUUAAACAAAUGAAUCACAAUCCUAAUUAAUUUGAGCAACAGAAUUUAUGUAACUACUCCCAGCAGGAUGUCUGCUCUCAGUCAGCAGAGAGAUUACUUCCUCUCUCUGGGAAAUUCCAGCCUUGCUGGUCAAUAAGCCUUAAUGAUGACUGAAAUCUCCCAUCUGUCUCUGCUCAGGGCAGGUAACCCCUACUAAGCAGACACCCAGUUGGCUCGAGGCAGUACCCCGGGCACCGGCAGGACAAGGACAACGAUCUCCCAGCCUAGAUGUGUCCUGAGCCACAUGGAGCACACAGAUUACAGGAUCUGACUCCCAUUUGGGCCUUCCACCUCCGCUGGCCUAAGCAGUCAAGUGUCAGAGAGCACUGGACCUAACAGCUCCCUCACCAGAGCAGCUGUGAUUCCUUCUUCAUUUCCAGCAGGGAAGACCCAACAACUUUUAUAAUAUGGGAUUUCUUUUAUUCUCAUGAUAAUAAUGUUCAUUGUGGAAAAUAAAAAAAAAUGAUAAAAUAAAAAUCAGCCAGAAUUCCAACUUCUGGAGAUUUUGGUGUCUUUCUGCAAAGUUCCUAUGCACAUAGAUACUUUAUAAAAUUAUGAACAUACUGUACAUACAGUUUUGGAAUAUGCCUUUUUCCUUCUGUCAUGAAAAAGUCUUCAAAUGCCUUUUAACAGCUACACAAUAGUUCACUACAUGAACCAACUCAAAUGUAACUAUUUUUGGCCUUUUGUUAUAAAUAACACAAGAACCCUCAGUCUUUGUUACAUAAUGUCCUAACAGAGUAGGGGAAAUGCUCCCCAAUCCGGUGCAAUGUCCUGUGCCCAGGGAAACCAAUU
rnacentral:lncRNA from 10 species